rnacentral:rRNA from 1 species
ACCUACGGGGGGCAGCAGCAAGGAAUCUUCCGCAAUGGGCGAAAGCCUGACGGAGCAACGCCGCGUGGGUGACGAAGCCCUUCGGGGUGUAAAGCCCUUUUAUGGGGGACGAACAAUGACGGUACCCCAUGAAUAAGCAUCGGCUAACUACGUGCCAGCAGCCGCGGUAAUACGUAGGAUGCAAGCGUUGUCCGGAAUUACUGGGCGUAAAGCGCGCGCAGGCGGCGCCUUAAGUUGGACGUGAAAGCUCCCGGCUCAACUGGGAAGGGUCGUUCAAAACUGAGGUGCUUGAGGGCAGGAGAGGAAAGUGGAAUUCCCGGUGUAGUGGUGAAAUGCGUAGAUAUCGGGAGGAACACCAGUGGCGAAGGCGGCUUUCUGGCCUGCAUCUGACGCUGAGGCGCGAAGGCUGGGGGAGCGAACGGGAUUAGAUACCCCGGU